rnacentral:ncRNA from 2 species
AUAGAGGAGCGGGCGAGCAAGAGUACCUUCGCCGCGCGGAGAGCGGAAUUCUCCGGCGGAGGGAAAGGGCAUCCCCGCCGAGGCACGGCAGGGAUCCGCCCCGCCGCAGCCGGGCGCCCGGGAGAAUACCCGCGCGACUGUCACCGCUUGCGUGGAGCACUAUGG